AAAAAAAAAAAAUUUGUGAAAAUAGUGACAUUUUGAAGCUUAUACUGGUAACUAAUUUUGCCAAUAUAUAUAUUUCUGACUAUGUAAUAUAACAUCAUUUACAAAAUUGAGAUGAAAAGAAACACCUUAUUCUAAAGAAUAAAACCUAUUUGGUAAUUCACAUCCCACAAUGGUACCUAAUUGACCAAUUAACUAGAUGCUACAUUCACUGGAAUUUACCUUUGAACUGAGAAGGCACACUCCUGUGGUGACUGAGCUACCUAAAAAUCUCACUGUUACUGUCGGGGGUGGGAGUAGAAACCUAAGUUAUUUUACCUGCAUAUACCUGAACGAAUGUACAUUAUUACUAUUUUAAGAGUUCUGGGCAAGAAGUUUAACAAAAAACUAUAGCUGUGUAUUCUAAACAAGAAAUUUUGCUUUCCUCAUUCUAACGUUUUUGUUAGAUUUACUUUUGUUAGAUAAAAACCAAGAUGAAUCAAACAUUUUUUUUUCUGGGUAAAUUAAGCAACCAGAGCAUAGGAUAUAUAUUCAUUCAACACAAGGCUGUGAGAUGUCAAAUCCCCUACUCUUAGCUUGUCAGUUUUAUUCAACAAAUACCUAAUGUAGAAUUAUUUACCACUUAUUAAAGCUUAUUUAUGCCUCAUUUAUCAAGUUAUAAUGUUCAGAUCUAAGUUGCCCUACUCCUGAGCAUAUUUUUAGAUGUAGGAAGCCCUAAAAUGGAAUCAUUCUAGAUUUAGAAAUAGAGCCCUGUGUGAUAUCUCUAAGUCUUGGCCAGCCUAGCCUUUAAAGAUUAUUUUUGUGUUCAUAGGACAAUUAAUAUCAAGACAGAUCCAGAAUAAAAAAGACCAGUUACUAAGUAUUUAUUUUAUGUAACACUUGUUAUUUUCAUAUUAUACUUACCCAAAAUUUCAAAAUAGUGAUGGAAAUUAGACUAAAUUGGGCAAAGAAUUUAUAAGGUCCUUUCCCAUUUAAACCCUCGUAAGUCUAUUGCUACCAGACAGUUCUCCAACUCAAAGGGGUAAUGGGCCAGGCAUGGUAGCUCACGCCUGUAAUCCUAGUACUUUGGGAGGCCAAGGCAGGAGGAUCGCUUGAGCCCAGGAGUUUAAAACCAGCCUGAGCAACAUAGUGAGAACCCCAACUCCACACACACACACAAAAAAAGGUUAAAAAAUUAGCCAGGCAUGGUGAUGCAGGCCUGUAGUCCCAGCUACUUGGGAGGCUGAGGUGGGAGAAUCAUUUGAGCCUGGGAGGUUGAGGCUGUGAUUGCACCACUGCACUCCAGCCUGGGUGAUAGUGAGACUCUUUCUCAAAACAAAACAAAACACAAUAAAACAAACUAAAAGGGGUAACAGGUAUAGGCUGUAGCUACCUUGAGCACACUUAGUACUAUUCUCUUUAAAUGUCCAAAUUCAAGAUGUUUUUGUCCUACUGAUAUAAAUAAUAGAGAAACAAUGUACGUUUCACCUUUUGGUUUAUAUUAAGCUAGUUUCUUCCCAUGUUCCUGACUAUCUUUGAGCCUAAAACAUGUGCUCAGGUCUAGGUUAGGCAGUAGCUCUUGCAAUAAUUUUAAAGUGCUAAAAUUCAAACACACACACAAAUGUAAUUUGUGGUUCAAAUAAGUGUUUGAAUCAAACUUAUAAAUACAUUCUUGAAUGUUAAAAUCUGAAAGUUGUCCCUUUCUGAUUAUAUCAUGACACCUACCUCAGGUGAACUUUGUCUAGUGCUUCCAUCGGAAGGACUAGGUGUC
rnacentral:lncRNA from 10 species